rnacentral:rRNA from 1 species
GGUAUUUCUAAUUGGCGGAACGGGUGAGUAACGCGUGAGCGACCUGACCUAAAGAGGGGGAUAACAUCGAGAAAUCGAUGCUAAUACCGCAUAAGACCACGGUAUCGCAUGGUACAGAGGUCAAAGGAGCAAUCCGCUUUAGGAGGGGCUCGCGUCCCAUUAGGUAGUAGGCGGGGUAACGGCCCACCUAGUCAACGAUGGGUAGCCGAGCUGAGAGGCUGAUCGGCCACACUGGAACUGAGACACGGUCCAGACUCCUACGGGAGGCAGCAGUGGGGAAUAUUGGGCAAUGGGCGAAAGCCUGACCCAGCAACGCCGCGUGAGGGAAGAAGGUUUUCGGAUUGUAAACCUCUGUCGCAGAUGACGAAGGAAGUGACGGUAAUCUGUGAGGAAGCCCCGGCUAACUACGUGCCAGCAGCCGCGGUAAUACGUAGGGGGCGAGCGUUGUCCGGAAUUACUGGGCGUAAAGGGUGCGUAGGCGGUUAAUUAAGUUGGAUGUGAAAUACCCGGGCUUAACCUGGGGGGUGCAUUCAAAACUGGUUAACUAGAGUUCAGGAGAGGGAAGCGGAAUUCCUAGUGUAGCGGUGAAAAUGCGUAGAUAUUAGGAGGAACACCCAGUGGCGAAGGCGGGCUUUCUGGACUGACACUGACGCUGAGGCCACGAAAGCGUGGGGGAGCACACAGGAUUAGAUACCCUGGGUAGUCCACGCGGUAAACGAUGAAUACUAGGUGUAGGGGGGUAUCAACUUCCCUCUGUGCCGCAUGCAAAACGCAAUAAGUAUUUCCGCCUGGGGAGUACAGCCGCAAGGUUGAAACUUC